rnacentral:misc_RNA from 1 species
UCCCCGUUCUCCUGGGAAGUACGACCGCAAGGUUGAAACUCAAAGGAAUUGACGGGGGCCCGCACAAGCGGUGGAGCAUGUGGUUCAAUUCGACGCAACGCGAAGAACCUUACCUGGGCUCGAAGCACAGUGGACCGGGGUAGAAAUAUCCCUUUUCGCAAGAACUGCUGUGGAGGUGCUGCAUGGCUGUCGUCAGCUCGUGUCGUGAGAUGUUGGGUUAAGUCCCGCAACGAGCGCAACCCUUAUCGUUAGUUGCCAUCGGGUCAAGCCGGGCACUCUAGCGAAACCGCCCCGGAUAACGGGGAGGAAGGUGGGAUGACGUCGAAUACGUAAC